UACGGAGGGUGCGAGCGUUGUCCGGAAUCACUGGGCGUAAAGGGCUCGUAGGCGGCCAACUAAGUCCGACGUGAAAUCCCCAGGCUUAACCUGGGAACUGCGUCGGAUACUGGAUGGCUUGAAUCCGGGAGAGGGAUGCGGAAUUCCAGGUGUAGCGGUGAAAUGCGUAGAUAUCUGGAGGAACACCGGUGGCGAAGGCGGCAUCCUGGACCGGCAUUGACGCUGAGGAGCGAAAGCCAGGGGAGCAAACGGG
rnacentral:rRNA from 1 species